UACGUAGGGUGCGAGCGUUAAUCGGAAUUACUGGGCGUAAAGGGUGCGCAGGCGGCUUGCUAAGACAGGUGUGAAAGCCCCGAGCUUAACUUGGGAAUGGCGCUUGUGACUGGCAGGCUGGAGUGUGGCAGAGGGAGGUGGAAUUCCACGUGUAGCAGUGAAAUGCGUAGAGAUGUGGAGGAACACCGAUGGCGAAGGCAGCCUCCUGGGCCAACACUGACGCUCAUGCACGAAAAGCGUGGGGGAGCAAAACAGG
rnacentral:rRNA from 1 species